UACGAAGGGGGGCUAGCGUUGCUCGGAAUCACUGGGCGUAAAGCGCACGUAGGCGGAUUGCUAAGUCAGGGGUGAAAUCCUGGAGCUCAACUCCAGAACUGCCUUUGAUACUGGCGAUCUUGAGUCCGGGAGAGGUGAGUGGAACUCCGAGUGUAGAGGUGAAAUUCGUAGAUAUUCGGAAGAACACCAGUGGCGAAGGCGGCUCACUGGCCCGGUACUGACGCUGAUGUGCGAAAGCGUGGGGAGCAAACAGG
rnacentral:rRNA from 1 species